rnacentral:rRNA from 1 species
AGUGAACGCUGGCGGUAGGCCUAACACAUGCAAGUCGAACGGCAGCACAGUAAGAGCUUGCUCUUACGGGUGGUGAGUGGCGGACGGGUGAGGAAUACAUCGGAAUCUACCUUUUCGUGGGGGAUAACGUAGGGAAACUUACGCUAAUACCGCAUACGACCUACGGGUGAAAGCAGGGGAUCUUCGGACCUUGCGCGAUUGAAUGAGCCGAUGUCGGAUUAGCUAGUUGGCGGGGUAAAGGCCCACCAAGGCGACGAUCCGUAGCUGGUCUGAGAGGAUGAUCAGCCACACUGGAACUGAGACACGGUCCAGACUCCUACGGGAGGCAGCAGUGGGGAAUAUUGGACAAUGGGCGCAAGCCUGAUCCAGCCAUACCGCGUGGGUGAAGAAGGCCUUCGGGUUGUAAAGCCCUUUUGUUGGGAAAGAAAAGCAGCAGGUUAAUACCCCGCUGUUCUGACGGUACCCAAAGAAUAAGCACCGGCUAACUUCGUG